rnacentral:rRNA from 1 species
AGUGAACGCUGGCGGUAGGCCUAACACAUGCAAGUCGAACGGCAGCACAGUAAGAGCUUGCUCUUACGGGUGGCGAGUGGCGGACGGGUGAGGAAUACAUCGGAAUCUACUUUUUCGUGGGGGAUAACGUAGAGAAACUUACGCUAAUACCGCAUACGACCUACGGGUGAAAGCAGGGGAUCUUCGGACCUUGCGCGAUUGAAUGAGCCGAUGUCGGAUUAGCUAGUUGGCGGGGUAAAGGCCCACCAAGGCGACGAUCCGUAGCUGGUCUGAGAGGAUGAUCAGCCACACUGGAACUGAGGCACGGUCCAGACUCCUACGGGAGGCAGCAGUGGGGAAUAUUGGACAAUGGGCGCAAGCCUGAUCCAGCCAUACCGCGUGGGUGAAGAAGGCCUUCGGGUUGUAAAGCCCUUUUGUUGGGAAAGAAAAGCAGCAGGUUAAUACCCCGCUGUUCUGACGGUACCCAAAGAAUAAGCACCGGCUAACUUCGUG